UACGGGGGGAGCAAGCGUUGUUCGGAUUUACUGGGCGUAAAGGGCGGGUAGGCGGCCACCGCAAGUCAGUUGCGAAAUCUCUGGGCUUAACCCAGAAAGGUCAACUGAUACUGCGGGGCUAGAGUGCAGAAGGGGCAACUGGAAUUCUCGGUGUAGCGGUGAAAUGCGUAGAUAUCGAGAGGAACACCUGCGGCGAAGGCGGGUUGCUGGGCUGACACUGACGCUGAACUGCGAAAGCUAGGGGAGCGAACGGG
rnacentral:rRNA from 1 species